rnacentral:rRNA from 1 species
AGAGUUUGAUCAUGGCUCAGGAUGAACGCUGGCGGCGUGCUUAAACACAUGCAAGUCGAACGAAGUUAAGUGAAACCUAGUGAUCUUAACUUAGUGGCGGACGGGUGAGUAACGCGUGGGUAACCUGCCGCAUGCAGGGGACAACAGUUGGAAACGACUGCUAAUACCGCAUAAGCGCACGGGACCGCAUGGUCCAGUGUGAAAAGAUUUAUCGGCAUGCGAUGGACCCGCGUCCGAUUAGCCAGUUGGCGGGGUAACGGCCCACCAAAGCGACGAUCGGUAACCGGCCUGAGAGGGUGAACGGCCACAUUGGGACUGAGACACGGCCCAAACUCCUACGGGAGGCAGCAGUGGGGAAUAUUGCACAAUGGGGGAAACCCUGAUGCAGCGACGCCGCGUGAGUGAUGAAGUAUUUCGGUACGUAAAGCUCUAUCAGCAGGAAAGAAAAUGACGGUACCUGACUAAGAAGCCCCGGCUAACUACGUGCCAGCCGCCGC